AGCGAACGCUGGCGGUAGGCCUAACACAUGCAAGUCGAACGGCAGCACAGUAAGUGCUUGCUCUUACGGGUGGCGAGUGGCGGGCGGGUGAGGAGUACAUCGGAAUCUACAUUUUCGUGGGGGAUAACGAAGGGAAACCUACGAUAAUACCGCACACGCCCUACGGUUGGAAGCAGGGGGUCUUCGGAACUUGCGCUGUUGGAACACCCGAUGUAGGAUUUGCUUGUUGGCGGGGUAAAGGCCCACCAGGGCGACGAUCGGUAGCUGAGCUGAGGGGAGGGUCAGCCACAGUGGAAGUGAGACACGACACAGGCACCGAGGGGAGGCAGCAGUGGGGAAGAGUGGCAAAAGGGGGGAAGAUUGAACCAGCGAUGCCGGGUGGAUGAAGAAGGCCUUCGUGUUGUAAAGCCCUUUUGUGGGGAAAGAAAAGCAGCAGCUGAAUACCCCGCUGUUCUGAGGGUACCCAAAGAAUAAGCACCGGCUAAUUUCGU
rnacentral:rRNA from 1 species